GGAACAGCAACCGCUGGAGCACUUCCUUGAAUUUGUUCAACAACAGCAUUUGUCUAACCAUGUGGCUACCAAACAAUAGCAGCAGAAGGGUAUCCAUCAGCACACGAUCUAGCCAGUUCGUCCAAAAGAGAAACGUCAAAAAGUGCGGGCGGAUGAAUUUUGUUUUGUUUCGGUUCUGUACGGGGCACUCCGGCUGUUGCUCCGCUGGAAGUAAAUUCCAAUAAAUGACGUCGGGACGGUCGAGUUGGUUUGCUGCAUACGUACUUAUCAAAAAAUGCGGAUUCGGAGACAACAAUGUUGUUAUUUUUGCGACCCAGCAGAGCGAAAAAAUAGUGCCCUGCGUUUUAGUGCAUCGGAAGUUGCUGAUCAUGUCGAUUUGCACCUCGGAACGUUGGAGGAAGUAAUUGACGGUGGAGAUCUCGAAGUAGAUAAAUAUUAUCAUACUGGUCUAAUUCCUGUACCAAACCAGACGGUCUACAUACAGAAGCAGCGUUUUGCCGUAUCUCAACUAAAUGCGGUGAUUGUUAAUCUCUGCUAAGUAGCAGCAACAGCCGGAUCUGGCCCGACUUCUGUGCAUCGAUAUAAUUGUGGGUGGUGAAGGCACUGAUGAAUCUGUGCUGAAGGCUACACGAUCCGAAAAGAAACUCUACAGCAUAUUUUGACUCAAACUGCAAACAAAUUACAGACUCAAACUGCACAUUAACUCCGGCACAAGCAACGAGAACACCAUAAGUCACCCCGAAGGAUGCUUGAAACUAACUUCUUAUCGUGAGUUAGGUAUGACGUUUUAAUAUUUUUAGUGGCGGUAUCACGCUUAUCUUACUUGUACCUCCCGGAAGAGUACGAACAAGUACGAUCAUA